rnacentral:rRNA from 1 species
GGGUAACGGGGUGUUAGGGCACGACACCGGAGAGGGAGCCUGAGAAACGGCUACCACAUCCAAGGAUGGCAGCAGGCGCGCAAAUUACCCAAUCCCGACACGGGGAGGUAGUGACAAUAAAUAACAAUACGGGGUUCUUUCGGAUCUCGUAAUUGGAAUGAGUACAAUUUAAAUCUCUUAACGAGGAACAAUUGGAGGGCAAGUCUGGUGCCAGCAGCCGCGGUAAUUCCAGCUCCAAUAGCGUAUAUUAAAGUUGUUGCAGUUAAAAAGCUCGUAGUUGAAUUUCGGGGUUAGUAGGUUGGUCAUGCCUCUGGUAUGUACUGGUCUCACUGAUUCCUCCUUCCUGAUGAACCGUAAUGCCAUUAAUUUGGUGUUGCGGGGAAUUUGGACUGUUACUUUGAAAAAAUUAGAGUGUUUAAAGCAAGCUAACGCUUGAAUACAUUAGCAUGGAAUAAUGAAAUAGGACGUUCGAUCCUAUUUUGUUGGUUUCUAGGAUUGACGUAAUGAUUAAUAGGGAUAGUUGGGGGCAUUAGUAUUCAAUUGUCAGGGGUGAAAUUCUUGGAUUUAUUGAAGACUAACUACUGCGAAAGCAUUUGCCAAGGAUGUUUUCAUUAAUCAAGAACGAAAGUUAGGGGAUCGAAGACGAUCAGAUACC